GACAUCUAAGCCACCCAAGUUAAUUGCAAUGUACCAAUGAACUGUGUUUAUGAACUUUUUGCUUUUAAAGGUAUGACAAACAAUAUAUUUUAGUCAUAUUUUUUCCCUUCAAUAUUUAUUUUAAAAGUACACUUUUUACCUAAUCCCAUUUUUAAUACUGUGCUUUACAUUUUAUGUAUACAUUCAAUGUAUGUUUGUAUGUUUUAUAUAUUGCAGAGAAGCACAAUAAACCCCUUAGUCUUAAGCUUAUUAUUAUCAUUAUUGUUACCUAUUGGGUAUGUGGUUACUGUGAAACAAAACCAUUAUUUCAUGUUGGUAUUUUGCCAUUAUGUGGAGGCAUGUAGCUAGAAAAGUUGUGACAUUUUGAUGGUUUAAAAAAACAGGCAUGUUGCCUUCUAAAUACAUCCUUGAAAUGGAUUAUUGUUAGAAAGAAAGCAAUUAUUGCUGUUUCAAAUGUAUUUUCCAUGAAUCUAAAAAAAGAUGCAUUUUGUGGUAUGAAAACGUGUUUCAUAACGUAUACAUAAUUACUACUUUGUCACCAUACAGACUUCUUUAGGGAAACAAAUUGGAAACCAAAUAUUUAUAGGGUUUUUUAAUCUCCUUACAUUUAAACAGUGCUGUUGCUAGUAUGAAGACUUAUGCAAUUGGGUUUGAUAAGGUCACAACUUCAGUUUUUUCAAUAUGUAGAAGCAGUAAAGUCAGAUUAAGGUGAAUCCUUGUUUUUCUGUUUUAAAUAUAUUUAUAAAGAAAAUUGGCAUUUGAAAUGAUUGAAUAAAAUUGGGACUGGUUUUUAUAAAAAUAUUAGGUAAUCAAGUUUUCUUGUAUAUUAUUUGAAUGUUUGCAUUUAAAAUCAAGUGAUUGGUAAAGAGUGCAGAUUCCAUGCACACAACUGUAUUUGGCAGUAAAAUCACAUAGCCAGUGGGACUGAUUUUUAGUUUUACAUUUUCAGACAGUAAAAGUUGCUUGAAUUUGAUAGAUUGAUACUUAUAUGUAUUAUAAUCCUAGUUGGAUACAAUUUGGAUUUGGCUUGUGUUAGGCAUUUUGAUGAGCACUUACAUGCAACACAAUAACUUUUUUGUGCAGCGUAGAGAGUACAUAAUGUAACACCUUGAAUAUAAGGUAUACAAGAUGCAAAGCUGGUAAACAACCAUAACCAAAAAGCUGUAGUAUAAAGUGUGCGUAACCAGAAGGAGUCUCUCUCUGAUAUUUCUUGUCAACAGUAUUUUGCAUACCCAUGAUGACAUACAUGUAUGCUUUACUGUCAAGGAAAACACUAAAACUGGUAUUGUCUCUUAAAUAAAGAGUUUUUACCUUAAGAAGUGUUUCAGAAUGAGCUGAAUUUUUGUCUCUAAAGAUUUACAUUACUUUU